GUCCUCUAGUGGUUCAUAAGACAUAAUGACUGGGUUUUCACACUAUUUUGUAAGAGGUGCCUCUCUCUAAAUCUUGUUAUGAUGUCUGCACAUUAUGCAUCUGAUG